rnacentral:rRNA from 1 species
UACAGAGGGUGCAAGCGUUGUUCGGAAUUAUUGGGCGUAAAGCGCGUGUAGGCGGCUUUGCAAGUCGGGUGUGAAAGCCCUCAGCUCAACUGAGGAAGUGCGCCCGAAACUGCAGAGCUUGAGUACCGGAGAGGAUGGUGGAAUUCCCAAGUAGAGGUGAAAUUCGUAGAUAUGGGGAGGAACACCGGUGGCGAAGGCGACCAUCUGGACGGAGUACUGACGCUGAGACGCGAAAGCGUGGGUAGCAAACGAGGA